CUCUUGGGGCUUUUUGGGCCUUGAGGAAGAACAUUUCCAGGGAACUGGGAACUCCCCAUCCCUGGAGGUGUCCAAGGGAGGCCUGGAUGUGGCACUGAGUGCUCUGGGCUGGGGCACAGCCUGGCUUUGAUGAUCCUGGAGGCCUUUUCCAGCCUCAGGGGUUCUGGGGUUCUGGGAUGGAGGAGCAUCUCCAAAGCCCUCGAGGUGACAUCUGUGCAUCACCCACAGGCUGCCCAAGCCAGAUCUGCUCUUCCCAGGAUGGGAAACACCCAAAGGAAGGAGAGAAACAGAACUUCCAGGAAAUCCAGGAAUCACAGCACUGCUCAUCAGAAUGGAUUAAUCGGCGUCAUUAAACCCAGGAAGUUUCAAGCCCUCAUAAAGCAGCUGCCAAAACGGCUCCCUCGCGGGCCGCUUCUUUUAUUUGUCGAACAAAAGAAUCAUCAGCAUUGUCUCCGGAGCUCUCCGAGGGCGCAGCCUGGGAUUAGGAUGCCG
rnacentral:lncRNA from 12 species